rnacentral:rRNA from 1 species
UACGAAGGGUGCAAGCGUUAACCGGAAUUACUGGGCGUAAAGCGUGCGUAGGCGGUCUUUUAAGUCUGCUGUGAAAUCCCCGGGCUCAACCUGGGAAUGGCAGUGGAUACUGGGAGGCUAGAGUGUGUCAGAGGAUGGUGGAAUUCCCGGUGUAGCGGUGAAAUGCGUAGAGAUCGGGAGGAACAUCAGUGGCGAAGGCGGCCAUCUGGGACAACACUGACGCUGAGGCACGAAAGCGUGGGGAGCAAACAGG